GGAGCAGCCCAAGAAAUAGCAACAACAACAACAACAACAAAAAGACAAAAAGACAAAAGACAUAAAAUAAAUCAUUGAGCACUACCUCAAAAUUCUUUGCUGUUCAUUGCAUUUUUUAAAUUUUUAACUUAUUUUUAUUUAUUUAUUUAUUUUGCUUUUUAGGGCCGCAUCCAUGGCAUAUGGAAGUUCCCAAGCUAGGGGUCAAAUCGGAGCUGUAGCUGCCCAGCCUACACCACAGCCACAGCAAUGUGGGAUCCGACCCACAUCUGCAGCCUACACCAUAGCUCAUGGCAACGCCGGAUCCUUAACCCCCUGAGCAAGGCCAGGGAUUGAACCUGCGUCCUCAUGAAUGCUAGUCAAAUUCAUUAACUGCUGAGCCACAACAGGAACUCCCAUCAUUUUUUUGUUAUAAAGAAAAAGCAAUGCUAAAAUAAUUGGGAAAAUGAAAUGAAAAGGACUAUUAAGACACAUGGGUUUCAUUUGUAUUAUGAAAAAAAGACAAUAUUGUUGUUAAAUUAAUUAAUUUUUAGUUCCAAUUAAAUAAUGGAGUGUCCAUAAAUAUUUAACUGAAAAAAAGCUGUUCGUUUAUAUAUUCCUUUCUCGUCCCAGUAAUGGAUUUCAGUUUUCAUGGCCUCUUCUCUGUAUAAAUAAUUCCAUUCUUAAAGUAUAAUCACUUGAAUAUAACUUUUGCUACUUUUUUUUUAUAAAACAGAAUGCUUCGUCCUCUCAAGAAAUGACAUAAGUUAUACACUGAAUUCAUAAACAUUGAUUAAUAUUACCACAAUCGAUUACAUCUCAUAUUUGCUAAGUGUUAAUGUCGAAAUGGAAAGAUAAAUUAUCCUAUUAAGAAUAUAUUAAUAUAAGAACAAAAGAGCACUUUAAUCAAUAGCCAUAAUAUUGCUAUGAUCUUCUCCCCUGUAUUAGGACUCACUCGUUUGCUAAGACUCAUGAACAUAAUCUUGGCAAGUACAAUAAAAUUUGUAUCUAAUUUAUCACUCACUUUCCAUGCUGCACUGGAAAACUUCUUUAUUCACUCCCUUAAAUUGGAUCCUAGGUGACAGGCUUCUUUAUAUUGUGGAGGUCAAGGCAAAAUUACUUUUUUUUUAAGUUUGCUAGAACGUUCCAGGAAAAUAGGCAUAUCAGGAUUUAGCCAUGCCUAUAGAUCUCAGGCAUUUGAGGGUCCAUGAUUGAGAAGAGAUCAUAACUAAAGUCCCUAAUUCAUUUUGGGGAAAUUUGGACAAGAUAUAUCACUCGGUGUUAAUAGCAUUAAAUUGAUAUUAACCCUCUUAGCCAUAGCCGUAUUUCAAGUACUCCAGAGCCAUAUGUGAUUAGUGGGUACCCUACGGUAUUGUGCAGAAUUACAGUAUAUUUCCAUGAUCACAGUUCUGUUGUGUUGCGUGACAUGUUUUUAUAAUAUUUUCUUAGCCUCUUUGCUGAAAACGCCAUCUUCUCCUUCCUUUGUUCCGUCUUCCAGCUUGAGAAACAGUCACGGUGAUGGUAAAUGACUUAAGCUUAAGAACAAAGACCUAAAGGCAUGGGUUAUUCACAGGGUCAGCUGAAUGAGGACAUAAUACAAUGGUCUAGGCACGCAGGACCUGUGCAGAUUGGCACGCCAUUUGCACAAGCAUGGUAUGUCCUCUAAAGAAUAAGAGAAAGAGUAUCCUCAUGACCAAGUGGUUUAUGAGGGGUCAUUAGCAGAAUAUGCAUUAGCAAAGAGAACCAAGGUGCAAACCUAGGCACACAGGGUUGCCACAAAUAGGCAUGCCCUUUGCAGAAGCACAGUGAGGAUUCUCUGAAAUGCUAUGCAUAGAUAGCUAACUCAAAUGCUAAAGAUUCUUAAAUGCCUAAAGUUUAGAGUAAAAGUUUAACCAUCUACCAGCUAAGUGACUUUUAAAAUAAUAAAAGAACUUAUAAAAUAAUAAAAAAAAAACCUGUAUCCUGCACCUACCACCCCCUUUUCACUUGACCUAAUCCUCAAGAGCACAAUAAAAGCAGUGUGGUUUCCUGAGGCAGGGCUCUUGGUCCCUGAGACCUUGAGUCCCCUGUUUCCACCUUUACUUAAGAUAAAUGUCUCUGUGUCUUGUUUUAUGUUAACUUUUUUUCCUUAAGUUCCACAGCACCCGUUCUUCAGCCCCAUUCUGCUGAGCUGGUCUCAGCACUGUUGGAAGUUCUGGUAAGAACUAUAUGACCCACACAUGAAUUUGAGUUAGGAUUUUCUUUCAAUUUACUAGUGGUUUUGGUAGACAAGAAGUUGCUUGUCUCUGUCUAGGGAAAGAUAGAAAGUGUCCAUUGAGAUACUGGAAAUUUUUCCUGCUUCUUGAAACAAGGUGAAGAGCAGGAAUACACCUUUCAUUCAGAAAGUGCUAAAAUAAUGUAAAAGUGUAUAAAAACAUGUAAAUUCAAUUAUUACUGGGCAAAGCAAAAUAAUCAUGAAUCAUCUGCCACAGACCAUGUGGGAGGUCUAGCUGAAACCUACUAUUCCCAUCUUGUUUUCUGACAGAUUCCCAAUAAUAUCAGCCUCAAUAUUCCAAACUCAGGGGAACAAAUCAGGUUUGGCCUCAGUCAGUUGUAGCAAUCCAAUUUGUUUAUUUCUAAGAUUUUCCUAAAUUUUAUUUUUCAGCUUAAGAAAAUAGAAAAUGUAGCUGUUUUUAAUCAAGGGAGUAAAAAGUUUAAUAAAAAUUAAUUAUCAAGGACUUAGGUUAACCUAAUAAAACUAACCUAAAAAAAGUUAAAAGACAAUUAUUGGAUGCAAAUAAAUAAUCAAAAUUGUGAUAACCUGCAGAUAAUACAUUUGUCUAUAGAGAAAGUAUUAGUGAUUUUCAGGCAAUUUUCAAAAAAAAUGCAUUUCAGCAAGUUUUGCUAGAUAAAUGGUUAAAUCAAUAUAGUACUAUGGAGUUCCCAUUGUGGCUCAGUGGUAAUGAGCCCAACUAGUAUCGAUGAAGAUGUGGGUUCAGUCUCUGGCCUCACUCAGUGGGGUAAGGAUCCAGCAUUUCCACGAGUGGUGGUGCAGGUUGCAGACUCUACUCAGAUCCCAUGUUGCUGUGGCUGUGGGGAAGGCCAACAGCUGCUGCUCUGAUUCAGCCCUUAGCCUGGACACUUCCAUAUGCCACAGGUGUGGCUCUAAAAAGCAAAAAUAAAAAAAUAUAUAUAUACACACACACACAUAUGUCAGUACUAAAAUGGGAAGACCAUCUAACAAAAUUCCCAAGAUUUUUUUCUAUUUGCUUGUUGGUUAUUGUUUGUUUGUUUUUGAGAAAGCAUGUUGGAAAUUUUAACUGAGAAAAUAUACAGAAGUAAAAGUACAUAAGGCAUUUUGAUAAUGGAAGAUAUUUAAGAAGACUUUUGUUAUAAUGCUAAAAUAUUAUUCUAAAAAAUAAAAGACCUAAGUAAAUAAUGAUUUAUCUAUGAACUAGAAUUAAUUUACUCAUCAAAUUAAUGUAUAUAUUGAAUACAAUUCCCUAUCAAGGAUACAAAAGGAUUACUCAUGAAAGUAGUCAAAAGUUCAUAUGAACAUUCAUAGUAUAAAAAUGUUAUAAUGGAAAAAAUAAAAAUCAUUACAAAAAAAGGAAAAUGCUCACAUAGGGUCCAUUUCAAAAACAAAAACAAAAAAAUUAAAAAUUAAAAAAUAAAAAAUAAAAAUGAACAAAAGUGGCUAUGAAAAUAAUCUAAAGCAGUAAAUCCUACCUGGUUCUAGAAGAUACCAGGACAUAUUACAGAUAAAUAGUAAUUAAGACAAAGAAAUACUGUUGUAGGAAUAAACCAGCAGAACACAGUAGUGGCUUGAAUAGAUUAUGAAUAUCGCUAUGCACAUACAGGAAGUUGGUAUAUAAUAGGGUUGGCAUUUCCUACUAAUGGAGAAAUGAGGGCUAUAUACAUAAGAAAUACUGCUAGGACAUAUAGAAACACAUAUGGUUAAAAUAUAAGAUGAUUUUCUAUUUCAAACUAUAUGCAAAACCUACGCUGAAAAUAAAUCAACAUCAAAAUCAAAGAGCUACAUAUUAGAAACAGAACAUUAUAAUGUCAAUAUAUAAGACAAUAUUUUCACCUCAACAACAACAAAAAACACUUAGAAUUCAUAGUCAGAAAAAUUUGUAUUACUUGAAAACUAAUAAUGUCAAUAUGGAAAAAUUAAGACUUUCUGAAUAAUAAAAUUCUGUGCCUACAAAAAGAUAUAUGAAGACAUAUGAAAUUAAGUUUAAUGUAUGGAAAAUAUGAAUAAUUUUUAAACAUCCAUAUGAGAAAGGCAAAUUCUAAUAGAAGAAUAGCAUUACCAAUGCAAAUGCAUUUUUCACGAGAAAUAAUCCAAAUUUAUAAUAUACAUUUAUAUUUUUUAAUAUAAUUAAUAUUCAAGUAAAUAUAAGUUAACACCUUACCAUUUGCAUUACUCAAUUAAAAAGAAUCAUCUUGGAUAUGAUAAUUCUGGAUUAACAUAUUUGGAAUGUGAUAUUAUAUACAUUUACUUCAUAUAAUUUAAAUGGGAAUUAUAAUUGGCAAGGCUAUUUUAAAGAACAAUAUUGGAAUAAAUUCAAACAUGCUUUUUGAGUGGAACAAAUAUAAGUAAAGCAAGGCUUAGGAAAGCUAUCUUGAUAUUUAUGUACAAAAUUGAGAUAUGCUAGUUGAGAAUUCAUAUAGGUAAUUAAUAAGGAGGACAUAUUCUUGAGCUAUUGGAAUUUAAUGGCUUGAUUUGAAGGAUCACAAAGGGAAAUGAAAAGUUAUUAGAUACCAGAUUCUUUACAACAAUGAAAUAGAGAGAAUUUGGUACCUGAUUAUAUGUUGUCAAGAAAUAGAGUUUAAGAAUGGUUCUACCAGAAAAUAGUUCUACUAGGUAUAAAUCUAAGAAUUUAAGAAGUGUUACAUUCUUCCUUCUCCAGUGAAAGGCUAUGAACUAGACAACACUAAUGUUAAGAAUUUUACCCUCUGUUUGUCUUUCCACAUGAUAACUAAAUCUUCACUUUGCAAGAUGUUAAAUUUUCUGAUGCCCAUUAUGGAAAUGAGUGUCAGAGGUACAGUUAACAUAUAUUUCCACAUGUUGUAACCCCAAUACAUAUAAGCUCAAAUCACAAAAUAUUCUGUCCUCAGGGCAAAUUUCAGAAAUUAUUCAGGUCUGAAUAUAGAUUUUAACAAUUUCCAUUUAUGUGAGAGAAACAUAUCAUUCAUACUAUAAAGGAAUGUAUCAAAAUGUUAGCUUUUCUCAGAGUUCCCAUCGUGGCACAGUGGAAACAAAUCUGACUAGGAACCAUGAGGUUGCAGGUUCGAUCCCUGACCUCACUCAGUGGGUUAAGGAUCUGGAGUUGCCAUGAGUUGUGGUGUAGAUUGCAGACACGGCUCGGAUCUGGCAUUGCUGUGGCUGUGGUAUAGGCCGGCAGCUGUGGCUCUGAUUAGACUUCUAGCCUGGGAACCACCCUAUGCUGCAGGUGUGGCCCUAGAAAGAAAAAAAGAAAAAAAAAAAA
rnacentral:lncRNA from 1 species